CCCGGCCCAACGCGUGCCGCCUUUUUGCAACCCAUGAUUGUAGCCAAGUAUCCCUCGCCGUCUCCGGCGAUCAGCGCUACCUAGCGAGCGGUGCACGGAAGAAUCAACGGGAUAUCAUCAUCGUCCCGUCCCCGGCGUGAAGGACCUGGCUAUGAGGAAUAUCUAUCACCGUCUCCGGUUGGAAUAAGGAAUAUCUAUCACCGCCGGCGAUGAGAUUUUCAGAAAGGACUUGAAAUGGUGCCCUAUGUUUGCCAAGCUAAAAACUGUGUUGCUCAAUGACUAGUGUGUGGCUGCUAACUUCACUGGAGAAGUUUAGUUUCUUCAGCACUCGCCAAUUAUAGAGAGGCUAACCCUUCAUCUUUGUGAUGGCUUGGAUUCUGAGAUUAAAUCAAGUGAAAGCUACAACCCAAUGGAAUAUUUCUCGGUGUCGAAGCAUCUCAAGGAAGUAGAAAUCUAUUGUUGCAAGGAAGAUGAAAGGAUUUCUCAAAUUUUGGAGAUCCUUCGUACUCAUGGAGUAACUCCCGCACAAAUUAACAUCGAACGUGGUUUUAGGUCUUCUUCCUGUAAGUAUGUUUUACUACAAUGCACUAUUGUUUGUGUAGUCUGCUUGCGUCAGUAAAAAAAAGAAAUUUAGACAGGCAAACUUUGAAAUAUGUUUUAUUUUUUAAAACUAGACAUUGAAAUAUUUGGUAAUUUAUAAAUGAAAAAGCGGGAAUUAUAUUAUUAAAUGAAGAAUGUCUAUUAAAAUUUCUACAAUUCUUCAAUAAAGGCCAAUAUAUUAAUAUCAGGUACACCCAACAUCUGCAACAAUAUCCUGUCUACAUAUUUUACUAAAAAUGCGAUCUGGCCAAAGUGGGUGAAAAAUGUAAAACAACCAAAUAAACAGUGUGAGGUAUUAUUCACUAUUUAGUUCCUUUGAGGGGCUAGGCGUAUGGUUCAUUUAAGAGCUCAUUCUUCCAGUAUCUGCAUAGUGAGAUCAAGUUGUAUGUCGGUCUAAUCUUCCAAAACAAUUUCUUCUGCACUUUUUGCUGCACUUCAAUGCCGCUGGCUAUUCGAUCGUACCUUCUCAUGUUUUAAUCUGCACUUUGAUGUAUUCAUUGUGUCUUCUAUAUGAUUACACAUGCUUCAGUUUCGAGCAGAGGAAGUAGAUCAGAUGGUCUAUUGUUCCUGGUUAUUCCAACUUCCAUGUCCCUGAAUUAAUCUUGGCAGCAUGGGGUUGCGAUGUUUUGUCAUUUUCGAUCUUGUGCCUGCCACCGUUCCAUUCAUAUGAAAGAUGAACUGCUGUCGAUAUGCAAUUUCAGUAGGUUCAGAUGUCGCUCUAGUUGUGUUGCACUUCUGCGAUUCCCUGAACUCAGUGUCAGGCCACAGCUACUAUACCUUUUAAAGGCCUAUGAUCAAUUUAUGUUUCUGCAACCUGAAUUAUGUGACUUAUGUAAUAUAGUACCUGCUUUGUUAUAUCGACCAUAU